ensembl:lncRNA
GUCCCAUCAGCCUGAGGGGUGAAUACAGGGGUUACGACAGAAAUUAAAUUCCAAGAAGACAGUGAUGAAUGACUCAUAUCACAGGCCACAUGUUCCUCCUCGGGAAGCACAACACAGAUGAGUAUAGAGACCAUCUGGAUGUGCAUGAUCAUCCGGAAGACUCCAGUUAUUUAAAAACCACAAAUGGUGUCAAAACAGGAAAAUGUACCAAAUGUUUGACCAGCCUGGAUUAUUUCGUAAAUGCUUCAAUUAAUUUCUCAGCUACCGCUCUGUGAAUAACAAGCCCAAUUAUACCUUUGUACAUCUAUUGACGUCAUAGUCAGAAUGUUUCCUAUUGAUUCCUGCUAUGGAUUGUCAUUUUGGUUCAUUUCCCGUGUACCUAACGGUCUCACUGGAAAGUUAUCAUCAUUAAAGUUUUACUGUGAGACUCAAAGUUUUGAAAGACAGUUUUAAAGACAAAAGGUCACUAUCCAGAUGACAAAUAAUGAGGGUCUCUUUCUUCUGACAUAUGUUCAGGUUUUUAAAUAGCCUACAUCUCAUCUCAUACAUACAGCAAGACAUGUAGUUAUUAAAAUGGACAUUCACAGAUUAAUCACUCACAAGUAGAGUCACUGCUCAAUCAUCUACUAUUCACUAUUU